CAUAUCCUUUAGUUAAAAAUUUAAGGUGUAACCUGCCCAGUGAUUUUUAAAUGGCCGCGGUAUUUUGACCGUGCAAAGGUAGCAUAAUAAUUAGUUUCUUAAUUAGAAACUGGAAUGAAUGGUUGGACGAGAAAAUUUCUGUCUUUUUUUUAUUUUGUUUAAAAUUUAAUUUUUGAGUUAAAAAGCUUAAAUUAUUUAAUAAGACGAGAAGACCCUAUAGAGUUUAAUAUUAUAUUGGAUUUAGAAUUUUAGGAUUUAUUUAUAAGUUUAAGAUUAAUAUUUUAUUGGGGUGAUAGAAAGAUUUAAGAAACUCUUUUUAAUAUUUUACACUAAUGUGUGGGUAUUUGAUCCAUAAUAAUGAUUAUAAGAUUAAAUUACCUUAGGGAUAACAGCGUUAUUUUUUUGAAGAGUUCUAAUCGAUAAAAGAAAUUGCGACCUCGAUGUUGGAUUAAAGUUUAAUUUUGGCGCAAAAGCUAAAAUUUUAGGUCUGUUCGACCUUUAAAACUUUACAUGAUCUGAGU
rnacentral:rRNA from 1 species